rnacentral:snRNA from 1 species
GUUUACUUCAGCAGGACAUAAACUAAAACUGAAAUCAUGCAGAGAUUAGUGGGGCCCUGCACAAGGAUGACACACAAAUCUGUGAAGCAUUCCACACUUUA